AUGUAUGUAUGUAUGCAUGUAUGCAUGCAUGCAUGCAUGUAUGUAUGUAUAAGUGUGUAUG
rnacentral:miRNA from 1 species